ACGCUCGACACCUACUGGAGGCAGCAGUGAGGAAUAUUGGUCAAUGGGCGCAGGCCUGAACCAGCCAAGUAGCGUGAAGGAUGACUGCCCUAUGGGUUGUAAACUUCUUUUAUAUGGGAAUAAAGUUUUCCACGUGUGGAAUUUUGUAUGUACCAUAUGAAUAAGGAUCGGCUAACUCCGUGCCAGCAGCCGCGGUAAUCUGAGCGGGCUGGCAAGGC
rnacentral:rRNA from 1 species